rnacentral:rRNA from 1 species
GGGGAAUAUUGGACAAUGGACCAAAAGUCUGACCCAGCAAUUCUGUGUGUUUGAUGAAGGCCUUCGGGUUGUAAAGAACUUUAAGUAGGGAAGAAGAAAGUGACGGUACCUACAGAAUAAGCGACGGCUAAAUACGUGCCAGCAGCCGCGGUAAUACGUAUGUCGCAAGCGUUAUCCGGAAUUAUUGGGCAUAAAGCGCGUCUAGGCGGUUUACUAAGUCUGAUGUGAAAAUGCGGAGCUCAACUCCGUAUUGCGUUGGAAACUGGUAGACUAGAGUAUUGGAGAGGUAGGCGGAACUACAAGUGUAGAGGUGAAAUUCGUAGAUAUUUGUAGGAAUGCCAAUGACGAAGGUAGUUUACUGGACAAAUACUGACGCUGAAGCGCGAAAGCUAGGGGAGCAAAC